AAGAAAACAACACAAAGCAAGCCCGGUCGCCCCCGUCCGCAGUCCCGCACUCCCGCAGCACGCAGGCGGCUGGCGGCCGUCGUCGUCGUCGCCUAGAUCUCCCCUCCGGCGCGCGUGGCGCCGUCACACCCGUCCCGUUGCCGUCCCUCCCCUGCCCCUUCCGCCACCUUCCAAUCCUCUCCAGUCUCGGCCUCUGCCCUUCGCGGCCGUAGGACUCGCCUCCUCCCUCCCCAUUCCGUGCCCCCGCCGCCCCGACGACACCAUCCGCCCAGCGCCGAGCGUGUGCGCUGCCCGGGCCAGCGGCGCCCACGGCCGCCACUGCCUCUCGGCGGCGGCCCGCCGCGUUAUCAUGUGCAGUUUGAAGUAUGAUCAUUGAGGUUGUGGGCUUGUGGCUAAAGAAGCUGCUAGGAUCGAUUGGCUGUCAUAAUGGACAAGAUACAAUCUGAUUGCCCUUAUCCUGGAUGUUUCUUUUGUGUUAUGAAGGAGGCAAACCCUAGUAAACGAAAGGCAAGUGUGCUAAAGUUCUUUAGGGAACUUCCUUCCCAAGAUGACGACGGUCAAGUUCUCCCUAUUAGCGGUCUCUGGAAUACAGCGAUGGCUCAUCCAAAUGAUCCUGAGUUCAUCAACUUGGGCAUAUUUGAAUGCAUGGCAUCUCUUAUAUGGAAGGGAUUGAAAAACAGGCGUUGGCUUGCACAUGAUCAGAAUAUUUACAUCCCAUAUUAUGCAGCUCACAUAAUUGGAUCAUAUACAAUGAAUAUGGAGGAAUUUGCUGAGUGUGCUGUUCGUGCUGGUGUAAUACCUCCAUUAGUCGAACUGUUAAGAGGUAGGCUGAUGUGGGUGGAACAAAGGGUUGCUGUUAGAGCUUUGGGGCAUUUGGCUACAUAUCCUAGCACAUUUCCUGCAGUUGCUGAUCAUGGGGAAGUACUUGAACUUGCCAUUCAACUUGCUUCGAGCUCCCUAGAGAUUGUGUACUCUCACUUUUACCAAUUUGCGGAUCAAAGACUUGGUUACCAUUGUGACCUUCUUACUCGUGGCAUGGGUGGUGUGGAAAUGGAAUCCCGCAAAGCUGAGGAAUGGGCAAGUCAGGUGCUGUGCUGGUCUUUGCAACUCAUUAACUGCUUUGCAUUUAAGCCUGAAUUCCUCCAUGAUAUUUGCAAGGCUGAUUUUCUAGUCAAGUUACCUGGAAUGUGGGGUGGGCUUGUGAAUGAGAACUCACCUGCUGGUGUUGGUUUGCUAAGAACAAUCUGCCAGAGCAAGGUUGGCCGAGGUCAUGUUGCUAACAUUCCUGGUACUAUUGAUGCUUUAUGCAAUAUCGCUCGUUCUUCAGAUGACUGGCAAUACAUGGCAGUUGAUUGUCUGAUGUGGUUAGUGCAGGAUGCUAGUACUUGUCAUAAGGUUAUAGAUAAAGUUGCACCAACACUGAUAGAUUUAGCAGAUAUUUCGACACUGGGUGAUUACAAAAAGCUUGGCGACACAAUUGUCACAGUCCUCCAAGAAUGUAUGCAACAGACUGGAAACUCACGCGGCAGAAUUAGUACUCAGACCAAGGAAGCAAUUGAUGAGCUCUUGAGAUGCAAGCAAAGUUUGAAAUUGGAAAAGAGUAUGCCGAAGGAGGAUCUUUAUAUAAAACAAGCUGCAGCAUUGGUCGUGAAGUUGGAAGGAAAUUCCCUGUUCUCUUCUGGGAAUAUAGCAGGUGCUGCAGAGAAAUACUCAGAAGCACUUGCGUUAUGUCCAGUGAAGUGUAAGAAAGAGCGGGUGGUGCUUUACAGCAACCGAGCUCAGUGUUAUCUUCUCCUGCAACAGCCAUUGGCUGCCAUAAGCGAUGCUAGUCGAGCAUUGUGCCUUCAUAGUCCUGUGAAUCGUCAUGCCAAGAGUUUGUGGAGAAGAGCUCAAGCAUAUGAUAUGCUUGGUUUUGCAAAAGAGAGCUUGUUGGAUGCAAUUCUUUUCAUAAACGAAUGCUCUCAGUCAAGCGAUCCUGACUUAUCCCUGAAGCAGAACAAAGUUCCUGAUUAUGCUGAGCAAUUGGUGAAGAAGCAGAUGCGUGUCACUUGGCUAUUCAGGGAAGCAGCUCUGAAGCAUGGAGGUGUACAUUGUGAAGGAAAUGCUAGUAAUGCUUUUGGUCAGGAGGCUGAUGACUCUGAGUGGGAAACAGCUAGUGAAAGCGAUGCUGAGAAUGAUGCCAGGAGAGAAGCAGAUGAUGAAACUGAAUGGAAGAAUCAUGGCCUAUCACUACCAGGACGAUUUCUUUGAGAAAAGCUGAGGAACAGGCAUGGAUUAUUUACAUGGUAUAGCUUUGCAACAAGAAAUGCUGAACCUGUAUUUGGAAGGUGUUGCACUGAGCAGCUACAGAUGCAGCUGCUGGGCCUUGUGCACUAUCGAGCAUCAAUGCUUUCAAAAGGAACGAUCUGGUGUCAUUUUUAUUGUCCUCAUCAGAAGGCGGCUCAAUUGAAUUCAUUUCCCUCAUCGUGUUGUUGGGUCAGUUAAAGUUGCACCUGUGACCGUUCAGUUUGCUCUUCUCAUGUGUCAGUCCUGUGUUUGUGUUUGAUGUUUGUAGAAUAUGUUUCACCAGUUUGUCAACUCUUUUUUUUUUCUGACUUUUGAAGUUUUGCGAAGAGGCCAUAAUCCUGGCACUCUUCCCUUUCCAUUGGGCUUAUCUGUAAUCUGUAGGGAGGUGUACUUGGAUUUUGGUAUACCAUGUCAGUUGUUACCUGAUAUAACAAGUAGGGGUUUAUAGAUUGGUUCAUGCUCUUAUGUCAAAAUUAGUGCGCUAGGGUCUUGCUCUGCUUGCCUGUUGGAACCUUUUGAAGGUGUUGUUGGGACGCAAAAUGCUAACAAAUGUGUGCUUCCAACAAGCACAUCAAUGUUUCAUAUAAUAUAUAACAAGAUUCUACUGAA